GGCCAUAGUUCAGCGGCAGAGCAUUUGCUCUGCAUGCAGAAGGUCCCAGGUUCAAUCCUCACUGGUUCCAGGUAACA